UACGGAGGGUGCGAGCGUUGUCCGGAAUCACUGGGCGUAAAGGGCGCGUAGGUGGCCCGUGGAAGUCUGCGGUGAAAGCCCGGCGCUCAACGCCGGGUCGGCCGUGGAUACUCUCGGGCUUGAGCUUACUAGAGGCAGAUGGAAUUCCGGGUGUAGCGGUGGAAUGCGUAGAGAUCCGGAAGAACACCGGUGGCGAAGGCGGCCUGCUGGGACAGUGCUGACGCUGAGGCGCGACAGCGUGGGGAGCAAACAGGAUUAGA
rnacentral:rRNA from 1 species